AACGAACGUUAGCGGCGCGCCUAAUACAUGCAAGUCGAGCGAGAAAGGGAUUCGUCCCCAGUAAAGCGGCGCACGGGUGAGUAACACGUAGGUCAUCUACCCUCGGGUGGUGGAUAACAUUCCGAAAGGAGUGCUAAUACAGCAUCACACCGCAAGGUCAAAGCGGGCCUCUCUAAAGAAGCUCGCGCCUGAGGAUGAGCCUGCGGCCCAUCAGCUAGUUGGUAGUGUAACGGACUACCAAGGCUAAGACGGGUAGCUGGUCUGAGAGGAUGAACAGCCACACUGGAACUGAGACACGGUCCAGACUCCUACGGGAGGCAGCAGUAGGGAAUCUUGCGCAAUGGGCGAAAGCCUGGCGCAGCGACGCCGCGUGAGUGAUGAAGGCCUUCGGGUUGUAAAGCUCUGUGGGGAGAGAAGAAUAAGUGCAGGCUAACACUCUGCGCGAUGACGGUAUCUCCUUAGCAAGCACCGGCUAACUCUGUGCCAGCCGCCGCCGUAA
rnacentral:rRNA from 1 species